rnacentral:rRNA from 1 species
UCCCAGACUCCUACGGGAGGCAGCAGUGGGGAAUAUUGCACAAUGGGGGGAACCCUGAUGCAGCGACGCCGCGUGGGUGAAGGAGUACUUCGGUACGUAAAGCCCUAUCAGCAGGAAAGAAAAUGACGGUACCUGACUAAGAAGCCCCGGCUAACUACGUGCCAGCAGCCGCGGUAAUACGUAGGGGGCAAGCGUUGUCCGGAUUUACUGGGUGUAAAGGGCGUGCAGCCGGGCUUACAAGUCAGAUGUGAAAUCCUGCGGCUCAACCGCAGAACUGCAUUUGAAACUGUAGGUCUUGAGUACUGGAGAGGCAGACGGAAUUCCUAGUGUAGCGGUGAAAUGCGUAGAUAUUAGGAGGAACACCAGUGGCGAAGGCGGUCUGCUGGACAGCAACUGACGGUGAGGCGCGAAAGCGUGGGGAGCAAACAGGAUUAGAUACCCGAGUA